AGUCGAACGAGAGAGAAGGAGCUUGCUUCUUCGAUCGAGUGGCGAACGGGUGAGUAACGCGUGAGGAACCUGCCUCAAAGAGGGGGACAACAGUUGGAAACGACUGCUAAUACCGCAUAAGCCCACGGGUCGGCAUCGACCUGAGGGAAAAGGAGCAAUCCGCUUUGAGAUGGCCUCGCGUCCGAUUAGCUAGUUGGUGAGGUAACGGCCCACCAAGGCGACGAUCGGUAGCCGGACUGAGAGGUUGAACGGCCACAUUGGGACUGAGACACGGCCCAGACUCCUACGGGAGGCAGCAGUGGGGAAUAUUGCACAAUGGGGGAAACCCUGAUGCAGCGACGCCGCGUGGAGGAAGAAGGUCUUCGGAUUGUAAACUCCUGUUGUUGAGGAAGAUAAUGACGGUACUCAACAAGGAAGUGACGGCUAACUACGUGCCAGCAGCCGCGGUAAAACGUAGGUCACAAGCGUUGUCCGGAAUUACUGGGUGUAAAGGGAGCGCAGGCGGGAAGACAAGUUGGAAGUGAAAUCUAUGGGCUCAACCCAUAAACUGCUUUCAAAACUGUUUUUCUUGAGUAGUGCAGAGGUAGGCGGAAUUCCCGGUGUAGCGGUGGAAUGCGUA
rnacentral:rRNA from 1 species